rnacentral:rRNA from 1 species
CUACGGGACGCAGCAGUGGGGAAUAUUGGACAAUGGGGGAAACCCUGAUCCAGCAAUGCCGCGUGUGUGAAGAAGGCCUGCGGGUUGUAAAGCACUUUCGGUUGGGAGGACUGCUUCUAGCACUAAUAUUGUUGGAAGUUGACGUUACCUUCAGAAGAAGCACCGGCUAACUCCGUGCCAGCAGCGCGCGGUAAUACGGAGGGUGCAAGCGUUAAUCGGAAUUACUGGGCGUAAAGCGCGCGUAGGCGGCUAGAUCAGUCGGGUGUGAAAGCCCCGGGCUUAACCUGGGAACUGCAUCCGAUACUGUCUAGCUUGAGUACAGGAGAGGGGAGUGGAAUUCCACAUGUAGCGGUGAAAUGCGUAGAUAUGUGGAGGAACACCAAUGGCGAAGGCAGCUCUCUGGCCUGAUACUGACGCUGAGGUGCGAAAGCGUGGGGAGCAAACAGGAUUAGAUACCCCUGUAGUC